rnacentral:rRNA from 1 species
UACGUAGGGGGCGAGCGUUGUCCGGAAUUACUGGGCGUAAAGCGCGCGUAGGUGGUCCAUCAAGUUCGGCGUGAAAUCCCCGGGCUUAACCUGGGAAUGGCAUUUGGGACUGCAAGGCUUGAGUGCGGCAGAGGAGACUGGAAUUCCUGGUGUAGCAGUGAAAUGCGUAGAUAUCAGGAGGAACACCGAUGGCGAAGGCAGGUCUCUGGGCUGACACUGACGCUCAUGCACGAAAGCGUGGGGAGCAAACAGG